UGCUAUCGGAUUGAUACUAAGCCAUGCAAGUCUUUGUAGUAAUACAAGGCAUACGGCUCAGUAACGCGUAGUCAACCUACCCUAUGGAUGGGGAUAAUCUCGGGAAACUGAGCAUAAUACCCAACAGAUCAUCAAUUCUGGAAUGGUUGAUGAUUCAAAUGAUUUUUCGCCAUAGGAUGGGACUGCGGCCUAUCAGCUUGUUGGUGAGGUAAUGGCCCACCAAGGCAAUUACAGGUACGGGCUCUGAGAGGAGAAGCCCGGAGAUGGGUACUGAGACAAGGACCCAGGCCCUAUGGGGCGCAGCAGGCGAGAAAACUUUGCAAUGUGCGAAAGCACGACAAGGUUAAUCCGAGUGAUUUCUGCUAAAGGAAUCUUUUACCAGUUCUAAAAAUACUGGCGAAUAAGGGGUGGGCAAGUUCUGGUGUCAGCCGCCGCGGUAAAACCAGCACCUCAAGUGGUCAGGAGGAUUAUUGGGCCUAAAGCAUCCGUAGCCGGCUCUGUAAGUUUUCGGUUAAAUCUAUAUGCUCAACGUAUAGGCUGCCGAAAAUACUGCAUAGCUAGGGAAUGGGAGAGGUAGACGGUACUCGGUAGGAAGGGGUAAAAUCCUUUGAUCUAUCGAUGACCACCUGAGGCGAAGGCGGUCUACCAGAACACGUUCGACGGUGAGGGAUGAAAGCUGGGGGAGCAAACCGGAUUAGAUACCCGGGUAGUCCCAGCUGUAAACGAUGCAGACUCGAUGAUGCAUUGGCAUAUAGCCAGUGCAGUGUCGCAGGGAAGCCGUUAAGUCUGCCGCCUGGGAAGUACGUACGCAAGUAUGAAACUUAAAGGAAUUGGCGGGGGAGCACCACAAGGGGUGAAGCCUGCGGUUC
rnacentral:rRNA from 1 species